rnacentral:rRNA from 1 species
CUCUAUGGCCAUACCAUCCUGAACGCGCCCGAUCUCGUCUGAUCUCGGAAGCUAAGCAGGGUCAGGCCUGGUUAGUACUGGGAUGGGAGACCGCCUGGGAAUACCGGGUGCUGUAGGCU